CCCUUAGAGUUUGAUCCUGGCUCAGAAUCAACGCUGGCGGCGUGCCUAAUACAUGCAAGUCGAACGCGAAAGUGGAGCAAUCCAUGAGUAGAGUGGCAAACGGGUGAGUAACACGUGGGUGACCUGCCUUCGAGUGGGGGAUAACGUCCCGAAAGGGACGCUAAUACCGCAUAACAUCCUGCCUUUUAAGAGGUGGAGAUCAAAGCCGGGGAUCGCAAGACCUGGCGCUUGUAGAGGGGCCCGCGCCUGAUUAGCUAGUUGGUGAGGUAAUGGCUCACCAAGGCAACGAUCAGUAUCCGGCCUGAGAGGGCGGACGGACACACUGGGACUGAGACACGGCCCAGACUCCUACGGGAGGCAGCAGUAGGGAAUUGUUCGCAAUGGGCGCAAGCCUGACGACGCAACGCCGCGUGGAGGAUGAAGAUCUUCGGGUCGUAAACUCCUUUCGAUCGAGACGAAUGGCUUCCGGCUUAAUACGCUGGGAGAAUGACGGUACCGAGAGAAGAAGCCCCGGCUAACUCCGUGCCAGCAGCCGCGGUAAUACGGGGGGGGCAAGCGUUGUUCGGAAUUACUGGGCGUAAAGGGCUCGUAGGUGGCCAACUAAGUCAGACGUGAAAUCCCUCGGCUUAACCGGGGAACUGCGUCUGAUACUGGAUGGCUUGAGAUUGGGAGAGGGAUGCGGAAUUCCAGGUGUAGCGGUGAAAUGCGUAGAUAUCUGGAGGAACACCGGUGGCGAAGGCGGCAUCCUGGACCAACACUGACACUGAGGAGCGAAAGCCAGGGGAGCAAACGGGAUAGAUACCCCGGUAGUCCUGGCCCUAAACGAUGAAUGCUUGGUGUGACGGGUAUCGAUCCCUGUCGUGCCGAAGCUACGCAUAAGCAUCCGCCUGGGGAGUACGGUCGCAAGCUGAA
rnacentral:rRNA from 1 species